AGGGGUAUAGUUCAAUGGUAGAAUAGAGGUCUCCAAAACCUUUGGUGUGGGUUCGAUUCCUACUACCCCUGCCA
rnacentral:tRNA from 3 species